rnacentral:misc_RNA from 1 species
GAUUUUUCAUUUUUUGAAUAUGGGCAGACCAGGAGGCAGGAGCGGAACUUGAUAAAAUCAGAAAGUCCAAAAAUGAUUAUUGGCUUAGUAGUAAAUGGAAGAUAACUGAUCAACAAGAAAAAGGAAAAAGAGAGUAAGUUGAAGAUAUGUCAGUAUUAUCCUCCGUCAUGGGGCAAAGGAGAGAGAUGGUAAAGUUCUCAUCAUUUCAUCCCAUACAUAAUAUCCAUAGCAACUCGGCAGCUCUAAAGAUAAUGGAUGGGAAACAAACGAGCUUAAAAAUGAGAGAUGUGAGGGUAUGGGAGUGGAGAGAAAGAAAGAGAUGCAUGCCAAAGAAGGUUAUAAAAAUGUAAAGACUCCAGUAACAGUUGGUCUCAAACCAUGUGAAUAGUUGUCA